CGCACUCCUUCGCGCCCACCCGCGCGCCCGGCCGCGUCGCCCCCCGCCCGCCAGCCGCCGCGGCGGACCCCGCCCCCGUCCGGGGGAGGGCAGGUAACCCGCUCCGGCUGUGCGGCGGCGGCCCCCCCACACACACACAGACACGCACACCCCCAGGUUCCUAAUAAAUCUCACGUUUUCGUCCCGCCGAGAAGGAAGGAUUGGAACGGUGCAGGGAGGUUCAUCUCGGCCGCGUGAAGUUUUCUUUCAAACUGGGAUUCGUGGAGAGGCCGGGCGACUGGAGCGGGACGGCAGUCGCGGCGCAGGACGCGGAGCUCUGGGAUCGGCGUGCUGGUCCGAGCCGGGGUGUGCGCCUGGACCCACCCACCAGCUCGCCCGGGCUUCGCAGUCAAGUCUACGGUGCAGUUUCACAAAAGGGCACCUGGUAGACCAGGACACCGAGCAGAAUAGAGGGGCCCUCGGGAAUGGACCCAGGCAGAAAUUCAGGUCUGAGAUGAAGCUCAACUAUGACUAUUUUGAAAGUGCUUUACAGUGCAAGUUUAAAAUUAGAGUGUUUACUUGCUUUUUCUCCCCCCGGCAAGUGCCACAUUCAUCCAAGUCAGAGGGACGAAUGAGGGUCCAAAAAAGUGGACCCUCAUUCAAGUGUUGCCCAGCAAAAAGCAUCGAUCACAGCCUCUGUAUUUUGGAAGAAUUUCUAGAAAUCGUCAUGAGAAUAACAAAUGUAUGUUCUUUCUACAAUAGUAGCAUUUAGUAUCUUUCUUAACCACAUUUGCAAAAAAGAGGGAAUGGAGACAUCUAUAAUUAAAGGGGAAAAGGAAAAUGAAAGGAGCUGAAAAUACUGAACUGUGUAGUCUGGGUGGGUUAAGUUUGAAAACACAUGAAAUUAUCAGGACUGCCAAACAGCAUUUCUGAGAAACCAUAUCACAGAUUGUGAAGAAAAUCAAUGCAGCACCGUACUCCACUCCUCCUACUCCUUUUAAGAAUCCCAGAAAUAGUUGCUGAGGGUUUCCCCCCCCCCCCCCCCCUCUGAGGAAAGAGAAAUGAC
rnacentral:lncRNA from 1 species